GAAAUUUCCCAUUAAUUAGGCCCGAGCCCAUCUCAGGCUGGGAGAGUGGUUGCCCGCCCCAUACGACGUCGUAGGCAGCGCUCGGUCAAUCGCACUCCACCGCCGCCGUCUAUCAAAUGCGCCACCACAGCAAAAUCCACCUUUUCUCUCAAGUCUCAUCCAUGGCGGUCUCAUCUUCUCCACAUUCGUAUUUGUCAAGCCCUAACUCUCUCUCUCUCUCGCCCUACAAACAACAACAACAACUACCUUCUCUGUUUUCCAACCUCAAGCUCCCCACUUUCCAGAGCCACCGCUUCAAAGCCCUAAUCUCUUCACCCGCUCCACCGCCGCCAAAACCACUUUCCAAAACCAUUCGCCAUGCCGCUGCCUCCGACGCUUCCCCCACCGCCACCACCUUCCACGGUCUGUGCUACGUCGUCGGCGACAACAUCGACACCGACCAAAUCAUCCCCGCCGAGUACCUAACCCUAGUCCCCUCCAACCCCGAGGAGUACAAGAAGCUCGGAUCCUACGCCCUCAUCGGCCUCCCCUCGUCCUACACGACCCGAUUCAUGGAGCCCGGCGAGUACAAGUCCAAGUUCUCGAUCGUUAUCGGCGGCGACAACUUUGGCUGCGGCUCGUCUCGCGAGCACGCUCCGGUGGCUCUGGGGGCGGCUGGCGUGGCGGCCGUGGUGGCGGAGUCCUAUGCCAGGAUUUUCUUCAGGAACUCCGUGGCCACGGGCGAGGUUUACCCGUUGGAGUCGGAGGGGAGGAUCUGCGAGGAGUGUAGGACUGGGCAUGUGGUCACGAUUGAGAUGAGUGAGAGCAGGCUGAUUAAUCAUACGACCGGGAAGGAGUACAAGCUGAAGCCGAUUGGCGAUGCCGGGCCGGUCAUUGAGGCCGGUGGGAUAUUCGCCUAUGCCAGGAAGACUGGGAUGAUUCCGUCACGGGCUGCUUAGGAUGGCGCUACGAAGACCAUGUCCGCUAAACUCCAAUGCAUCACAUUAGGCUCUAGAUUAACACGCGGCUUAUCUAGUACUUACUGGUUCUGAUCAAUCUUUUCUAGUGCGUGCUUAUUUUUGUUCAUGGAUGAUUGGACGGACACUCCCGAGUCCUGACUCUUCCCAGACGUAUGGAAUGGUGUGAAGUAUCAUCAUCUUGCAAAUUGUUCAUCAUGUACCCAACGAAUGCUGUUUAAUUUUGUAUGCACUAGUUUUCUGCUCUGCUCUGAAUAAGAGUCUUCCUGCACAUUUGGCAUUCUCCCAAACUUGCUAGCUGUUUUUCUAUGGAAUGCACCUAAACCUAACCAUUAGGUAGGGAUGCCAAUUUACAUUUGAUAGCUCUUUGAUCUUUCAACUGCAUUGCUUGAGAUA